rfam:Spizellomyces punctatus DAOM BR117 chromosome Tnknown supercont1.1, whole genome shotgun sequence.
GCAGGAUUGGCGAAAUUGGUAUACGCGUCAGACUUAAGUUCUGAUGGUCGCAAGACCGUGUGGGUUCGACCCCCACAUCCUGCA